GAUGAAGAACGUAGCGAAAUGCGAUAAGUAAUGUGAAUUGCAGAAUUCAGUGAAUCAUCGAAUCUUUGAACGCACAUUGCGCCCGUCAGUAUUCUGGCGGGCAUGCCUGUUCGAGCGUCAUUACGCCCCUCAAGUCCCCUGUGGACUUGGUGUUGGGGAUCGGCGAGGCUGGUUUUCCAGCACAGCCGUCCCUUAAAUUAAUUGGCGGUCUCGCCGUGGCCCUCCUCUGCGCAGUAGUAAAACACUCGCAACAGGAGCCCGGCGCGGUCCACGGCCGUAAAACCCCCCAACUUUUUAUAGUUGACCUCGAAUCAGGUAGGACUACCCGCUGAACUUAAGCAUAUCAAUAAGCGGAGGA
rnacentral:misc_RNA from 1 species